UACGUAGGUGGCAAGCGUUGUCCGGAUUUACUGGGCGUAAAGAGCGCGCAGGCGGUCGAUCAAGUCGGGUGUGAAAGCCCCCGGCUCAACUGGGGAGGGUCACGCGAUACUGAUCGACUCGAAGGCAGGAGAGGGUAGUGGAAUUCCCGGUGUAGUGGUGAAAUGCGUAGAUAUCGGGAGGAACACCGGUAGCGAAGGCGACUACCUGGCCUGUUCUUGACGCUGAGGCGCGAAAGCUAGGGGAGCAAACGGG
rnacentral:rRNA from 1 species